UACAGAGGGUGCGAGCGUUAAUCGGAUUUACUGGGCGUAAAGGGCGCGUAGGUGGUUAUAUAAGUGAGAGGUGAAAUCCCCGGGCUCAACCUGGGAACUGCCUCUUAUACUGUAUAGCUUGAGUACAAUAGAGGGUAGUGGAAUUUCCGGUGUAGCGGUGAAAUGCGUAGAUAUCGGAAGGAACACCAGUGGCGAAGGCGGCUACCUGGAUUGAUACUGACACUGAGGCGCGAGAGCGUGGGGAGCAAACAGG
rnacentral:rRNA from 1 species